UAGGUAUUAUUUUCUCCCGAUCGGGUUUUUCUUCUCCUCACACGCAACGUCGUUCUUCUCUCGGGCGGAAACACGAAGGAGCUAGGGUUUUCCCUCCCUCAGGUGGCCGGCGAAGGUUUUUCCGGCCGAUCUUCACUCAACCAUGACCCUCUCGUCGUGGAGAGCACGCGGACCCGAAGGAGACGCCGAGACCUUCACCUCUCUGAACCCUAGAAGCCCUUCUUCUCGGUUGUAAGUCCAAGAAAUCAAUAUAAAGGAAAGGAAAGGAUAUAGCAAAGGAGGCGACAAGGUGGUGCGGUUGGUGUAUGAUGCCAGGACUGUGGGAGAGAACUGAGAAGUUUUGGCGUUUUCGUGUUUAGUGGAUAAGAAGUAAUUGAGUUGUACUUUAUAGUUGAUGUCAUUGAGACUGUAUUUUAUAUUCUAUGUUCCUAUUGAAUUAUUUGUGUUUUAGUUUGCAUGCUAUGAUGAGUUUCUAUGUAAUAGGUAGAUAUUAUAGUUUUUGUCACUUGUUAAA